CUGCACGCACGUCGAUAAGGGGACUCCGAGUGCGAGGGCAUAUCGUCCUCGCUUUCGUGUACCGUAGGGUGGUACACCAACAAGGGCUGGGCAAGACCGGUGCCAGCCGCCGCGGUAAUACGGGCAGCCCGAGUGAUGGCCGAUCUUAUUGGGCCUAAAGCGUCCGUAGCUGGCUACGCAAGUCCGUCGGGAAAUCCACUCGCCCAACGAGUGGGCGUCCGAGGGAAACUGCAUAGCUUGGGAACCGAAAGGCUCGAAGGGUACGUUCGGGGUAGGAGUGAAAUCCCAUAUUCCCGCACGGACCACCGAAUGGCGAAAGCAUUUCGAGAAAACGGAUCCGAACAGUAAGGGACCGAAAAGCCAGGGUCUCAAACCGAAUAAGAUACCCGGGUA
rnacentral:rRNA from 1 species